UUUUGAUUGCUGCUCAGCAAGC
rnacentral:miRNA from 3 species